rnacentral:rRNA from 1 species
GCUGUCGUCAGCUCGUGUCGUGAGAUGUUGGGUUAAGUCCCGCAACGAGCGCAACCCACGUAUUUAGUUGCUAACGGUUCGGCCGAGCACUCUAAAUAGACUGCCUUCGUAAGGAGGAGGAAGGUGUGGACGACGUCAAGUCAUCAUGGCCCUUAUGCCCAGGGCGACACACGUGCUACAAUGGCAUAUACAAUGAGACGCAAUACCGCGAGGUGGAGCAAAUCUAUAAAAUAUGUCCCAGUUCGGAUUGUUCUCUGCAACUCGAGAGCAUGAAGCCGGAAUCGCUAGUAAUCGUAGAUCAGCCAUGCUACGGUGAAUACGUUCCCGGGUCUUGUACUCACCGCCCGUCACACCAUGGGAGUUGAUUUCACUCGAAGCCGGAAUACUAAACUAGUUACCGUCCACAGUGGAAUCAGCGACUGGGGUGAAGUCGUAACAAGGUAACCGUAGGAGAACCUGCGGUUGGAUCACCUCCUUUCUAG